rnacentral:sRNA from 1 species
AUCAUUUGGUUGCAAUGAACAGCCCCCACCUCUGCUCACCGGCAGAGCUCCGCUUCAGCUUCGCGUUCCAGCCGUUCACAAUGUCAUCGUACACGAACCUGGGUGAAGUCUGCCAUGAAGGCUUCUUUGUUCUUCUCAACUUCAGCAAGCUCCCUUUGAAGAACACGCAGGAACUGAAACAUAUAGCAUGUGGCAAUUGAUUGAUAUGUUAAUGUCACUGCAGAAGCAAACCUUUCCGUAAGUCUUCACAUCGUGGAGGUCAUAGCCUCUCUGCUUAAUGUAAGCAGCAAAUUCUUCUGAUGGUUUCCCAGGAUUCCUACAGUAAUCACUGAUGAGGACUUUGCCCCCAGGUUUCAGCCACUUGAAGAAACUUCUGAACAAAGCAGGUUUAUCCUGUAAAACCAUAAUGGUGUCACGGCUGUAGAUCACAUCAAAUGUAUUUGGUGCGUAGGUCUUUGUGGUGCAAUCAGCUACUUCAAACUCAACCGAACACUUGCGUCCAAUGGCACGUUCGAUUGCAAAUGAAACCAUGUUGAUUGAAAGAUCAAUACCAAGAACAUGGGCAUCGUAGUUUUCAGCCAUAUAGAAGUCGCCGCCUCCAAUUCCGCACCCAACAUCAAGCACUUUCUGUCCAGGUUUAAGAUCCAGCUUAUCCACAAAUUCCUUUGAAAUUGUUCAACUGACCAAUUCCACCAGUGCUGACAUAACCCUCUCCGAAGACACGCUCAUAGCGUAAGAUUCCAGUGGUUUUGUACUGCACAUUGUCCAGGAAUCUUUGGAAUCCUCUGUCUUCUGUUGACUUAACCUUUUCCCAUAGCCAACAUACCUGAUUUUGAUUUUUCUUGCUUUUCACAUAAGCCCCAAUGCACUUGCAUGUUUCUAGAGAAAGUUCAUAAGAACCCCCAUCUUUAUCAUAGGAAUGGCAUUCUUUAAAAACCUUUGUAUAGAACCUUGGCUCCCGGUAAUGUGUUGGAUUCACCUUCCUUUUGGAAUCUCCAGAUUGGUGAAAGCAUGACUCCCUAAAGAAUAUAUGGCCACCUACCUUCAGCCAUUUCACCAUUCUUCCUACUAGCUUCUCGACCUACACUUACCUCCUCAUCUGAAAGGUACAUUAGUAGCCAGUUUGAGAAUAUGAGAUCAAUAGAGUUAUCUUCGAUCGUCAGGUCCGGAGACGUGACAUCAGCGCACAUAAAGGUUAUGUUCUUGUGAUGCCCAUUUAUAAAUUUCACCUUCUUAAUCACACUUUCAAUGAAGUCUAGGGCUAAAACAUGGCCAGCUUCUUUUGCCAGUUCCCCAGUAAAGCGUCCUAUUCCAGCACCAAGCUCCAGUACUGAUUUCCCUUUGUAAGAAGGGAGUACAGACAGGACC